CCCGGAGGCGUGAAUGUGACCCCGAAUAUGACCUUCGUCUGGUCUAUUGGUCUGGUCUUCCUGGUGCUCCUCCUCUUCCUGGUUGUGUGUGUUCUGAAAAAGAAAGGGAAAAUCUGUAAGGGAAGAGGUAGUGGAUCAGAUCCAGUCAGAAAUGGAAAUGUGUCAUACACCCCAGCUCAUACCGGUAAUGGAGGAACUACAACAGAAGUGAAUGGCACCAGCAGAGUUCAUGCUACCACCUGUUAAAAGCUAUGAAGAUCACAAUUUAAAUGCAUAUUUUAAUAUAAAAUAUGUUAUUUCACUGGCUAAUUGUGUUGAGUUAGAACAGAAUUUCAGUUCAUUGAAGUAUUUUGUUUAGAAUGAAGUGUUUAAAAUUUACCAGACACGUAUUCUAAAGCAUGUUUUACUGCAGGGAUGUUAUCAAAACUGUAUGUUGAAGAUCCGUUUUGUUUUUGAAGGGUAUUAUCAUGAAGUAUUGUGUUGUGCCAGUGUUCUGUAAGUGUUGUGUACAUGUUUAUUUCAGCAGUAUGUGAGCAAUACUUAAUGCAAUGUCCAUUAUUUUAAAAAGAACUUUUAUAAUAACAUUUUAUAUUUAAGUUUUUUUACAUUAAAAAUAAUGCAGUUUUUAUACUG